UUAGACACAUGUUUCAGUCUUCUCAUUUCCUCCCCAGGAAGAAGCUGGGAGCUGGGAGUUUUUCCCUGAUGGUGUCAUUUUCAAAAGGGGGAAGAACUAAAAUCUCCACAGUCAGUCCUGUGGUCAGAGUGGGCGCUGGAGACCAGGGGAAGUUGUGAGGCUCACCAGCGCACCUUGAGCUGUGGGAACGGCGGUGAGGUAGGAAUUUCUGAACUUGGGUUACAUUUGCAUCCUGGAUCCUCAGCUUUGACAUCUGAAUCC
rnacentral:lncRNA from 1 species